GGGACACGUGGUAUCCUGUCUGAAUAUGGGGGGACCAUCCUCCAAGGCUAAAUACUCCUGACUGACCGAUAGUGAACCAGUACCGUGAGGGAAAGGCGAAAAGAACCCCGGCGAGGGGAGUGAAAAAGAACCUGAAACCGUGUACGUACAAGCAGUGGGAGCCUCUUAAUGGGGUGACUGCGUACCUUUUGUAUAAUGGGUCAGCGACUUAUAUUCUGUAGCAAGGUUAACCGAAUAGGGGAGCCGAAGGGAAACCGAGUCUUAACUGGGCGUUAAGUUGCAGGGUAUAGACCCGAAACCCGGUGAUCUAGCCAUGGGCAGGUUGAAGGUUGGGUAACACUAACUGGAGGACCGAACCGACUAAUGUUGAAAAAUUAGCGGAUGACUUGUGGCUGGGGGUGAAAGGCCAAUCAAACCGGGAGAUAGCUGGUUCUCCCCGAAAGCUAUUUAGGUAGCGCCUCGUGAAUUCAUCUCCGGGGGUAGAGCACUGUUUCGGCAAGGGGGUCAUCCCGACUUACCAACCCGAUGCAAACUGCGAAUACCGGAGAAUGUUAUCACGGGAGACACACGGCGGGUGCUAACGUCCGUCGUGAAGAGGGAAACAACCCAGACCGCCAGCUAAGGUCCCAAAGUCAUGGUUAAGUGGGAAACGAUG
rnacentral:rRNA from 1 species